AUAUCAAUAAGCGGAGGAAAAGAAACCAACAGGGAUUUACCUCAGUAACGGCGAGUGAAGCGGUAACAGCUCAAAUUUGAAAUCUGGCUCACGCCCGAGUUGUAAUUUGUAGAAGAUGCUUUUUUGGGUGUAGCUCCGGUCUAAGUUUUCCUUGGAACAGGACGUCAUAGAGGGUGAGAAUCCCGUAUGUGACUGGUAGCUUUUUCGCCCGUGUAAAGCUCUUUUUUCGACGAGUCGAGUUUGUUUUUUGGGAAUGCAGCUCAAAAUGGGUGGUAAUUAC
rnacentral:rRNA from 1 species